rnacentral:lncRNA from 1 species
GGUUGCCCCUUUCACGUUACGUCGCAUAACACUUCCUUCUGUCCUGCUGGACUGAGAACUCCUUAAGCUCAGGAACUCUCUCACCAACGUCUGUGCCUCUUCCCAGCACUGGGCCUGGACCAUAGUAAAUGCUCAGUGGAUGGGAGAUUAUCAGUGGUAUGUGACUAAAUUAUUCUGCUCAAGAGAAAGAAAAAGCUUCUCUCAAACAUUUUAGAAUCGAGCAUUUGUAAUAAAAAAUCACCCCAGCAUUUGUCGUUACUACCCAGAGACCUUGGUGAGGGAUAUAUAUGGGUAAUUUCACUUAAUCCUCAAAACAGGAGACCAAGUGCUCACACUUGCCCGUUUCUUAACUGCUGCUUUGUCUUGACAAAACUCAAGUGGGGCUUCUCUCGUCCCCACAGGCCCCUGAACUCUGCCUGCCUUGGGCCUGGGCAGGCUCUAAGGCCUCCCUUUAUCAGCGUAUCCUGGGAAUGGCUGACCACAGCGAGACACGCUUCCCGCCAGACCCCGGCCAUCACGCUCCCUGCUUGCCCAACUCCCAUGGCUGCUGAGAUCUCCUUACCCCUCCCCAUAAAAGAAAAGCCUUUUCUGUUUGGUUCUGAGCUACCUGCAGAUUCCUGAGAUUGGAGACUCUCCUGUUCGCGAUGGUCUUUUCGAAUAAAGUUUCUCCUUAUCGAAGUCCAGGUUUGUUUUUAUUUGACACAACUCUAUGAUUUAGAAACGAUGCUCAGAACAUUUCACAUAAGAGUAAACUGAGGCUUAGAAAAAAUAAAUAACUUUCCCAGGGCCCCAUAAGGGGCCCCAUAAACAGCCAAUGGGAAGUCCAGGAUCCAAACUCAUCUGAGGGUGAGAGGUCACACUCAGCCGCUGUGCUACACACACCUCACGCCUGCUUUCACCAGCAUCGGGGAAGACCUGCUUCACUACGCUCAAAGUUCAUCUACAGACCCGAAAGCACUAAAAUUCUAUGUCGUGUCAAUUUAUACUGUUUAUUAGUCCAUGCCAACCUGAAAACUAUCAAUUAAAAUAUUAUAAUGAAAAUUAGUAUUAUUAUUGUGUGUGUGCAAGGAAGAUUGGCCCUGAGCGAACACCUGUGCCAUCUUCCUCUAUUUUAUGUAUUACGCUUCGACGAGCGAUGAGGUCUGUGCCCAGGAUCCAAACCUGUGAACCUAGGGCUGCUGAAGUGGAGCACAUGAACUUAACAGCUAUGCCACUGGGCCCACCCCAAAGUUAGUAUUUUUAUAUCAUCUUGCAAAGCGCCAACAUAAAGACGACCAUACAGUCUCCCCAGGUGCUCACACCUAUGCUUAUUAUUUCUACAUAAUGAUUUGAUAUUAAAUAAAUCAUUGUGUGGAGGAAGCCAGAAUGCAGACGCAGAUUUCUAUAAUCCUCAGGGUUAAAAAAAGAAGAAAAGAAAAGGCAGUUUUCUAAGCUCCCGCCUCUCCUGCGGGAGCCACGGGCUUCCCUGUCACCUGUGCCUGCCCCCGUGGAGAGCUGACACUCGCGGAGCACGCACUCUGAUGUGGCCAUCAGUCUCCACAUGCGUCAAACCCCUGUAACAGUCACAACCCUCAAGGGUGCUUGUGCUAUUAUUAUGACCCUUACUGGAGAAGUGAGGGAACUGAGGCAGGAAGAGGUUGAGCAAGAAGCCCAAGGUCACAGAGAGAGCUGGUGGCAGAGCUGGCAUGAAACCCAGGACACCUGUCCAGAGCCUGGACUUCCCUCCUCUCCCCCCCGCCCCGCCAGGCUCCUGCCAUGUCACCCCGCGUGUCAACACAAAGACUGUCCCACUGCAGCUCUGCUGCCUUCCAGGCAAAGGUUCAGCUCAUUCUCAAGAAAGCUCCAUGGGCCGAGUUCAGUGAAAAUGAGCAGCAGGCACUGCAAACAUUGGGCCAAAGAGGGAAAACCACUGGGAGUUGCUGGCGAUGGUGUGCGGCUACGAAUGCCGGAUCUAGGCUACUUUCAAGCACGUGUCUUCACUUUCCUGGCUUCUUCGGGAAUGUUUGGGGCUCACUGUUUCAGUGUGCAGCACUUCCUGGAGCAGAGAAAGACGCAGAACUGGAGGCUGACUUAGUAACUGUGUGGUGCUGGAAAAGCUUCUCAUUCUCCAGGCCUCAGGUUCCUCGCCUGUAAAUGACAGUGAUGAGUCAGGCUGGUGCUCAGUUCUCCCUGGUGCUAUCAUGCUCUAACUGGGAUUGGCAGAGGUAGCCUGGGUUAUUAAAAUCUGCGUCCACAGAGCUUAGCUCCUUUGGAGAGCUUUUAAAAAUCCGCGUGUUGGGCCCCACCUCCAGAUACUGAUUUAAUUAAAGGAGACGGGGCUCAGGCACCAGUGCUUCUUGUUUUUAACUCAGGUGAUUCUGCUAAGGAGGCAGCUCUGAGAACCAUGGCUCUGGAGAGUUCUCAAACUUGUGUAUUCAUCAAAAAUACCUGGAGGGCUUUUUCCCACCCCAAACUUUCUUAUUCAGUAGGCUUGGGUGUGGGGCAUUUCUGGUAAGUUCCCAGGAAAUCCUGAUGCUGCUGGCUCAGAAUCCACACUUGGAGAACGCCACAGGUUUUCACCCCCUUUGAAAUGCAGCAGAUCUCGCUGGCAAAGGAUUUAUAGGAACAUCUUCCAAAAGCCUCAUUAAUUCAAGACAGGGAAGUGCAAGAAAAGUCAACCAAAGUCGGUGCCAUCCGAAGGAAGGUCACAGCGUGAAAGACAACAUUCUCACAAUCAUGGUCGUUCAUCCAGCAGACGUUUUGAAAAUAUUUUUGAACAGUGUACCAGGCAGGCAUCGUUCAGGGUGCUAGAUACAGAACCAGCAGAAGUCCCAGCUGGCGGAGUGCGGCAGGCUGACAAAGAAGGAGCUCACUGUUGGAUGGUGGUACCCAGGUAGAGAAAAGACGGCCCAGGAGGAACAGAGGGGACGAUCCCCAAAAGAAGGAAAGGAACAUUUAUCCACCACUUGUGAAAAACUGGGUCUUCUACACAGCUCACUUCUCCGAAUCCUCAGCACUCUCUUGUUGUGCCCUCUUUCUUACCAUAAUAGCCAAUUUUACACGUGAAGAAACUGAAGUUCCCAAACUUUAAGAGAUUGGCUGUGGCUGGGGUGUUAAUUAAUAGGUGGACAGUGCUGAACUUCUUGACUGGUUGUAGGAACGAAGCCCGGGGCAGAUUUGUAAAGGAGACUGCCCACAUGCCCUUUGUAACGCUCACACACCCUCCUCCUGCAGGACUUGCCAUGCUGCGUGGAAUGUUCCAGACCUCACCUUUCCCCAGUAAUGUUGACCCUUCUUCUCAUUCUCUGGAGCACUCCUCACACUCUAUGCCAAUUCCAUGCAUGGAUUCUCUCUCUAGAGUGCAAGGGGUUUGUGAAUGUUAAUCUCUGCUAAUCCUGUAAAUUGAUUUUCUCCAUUUUAUAGUCCAAUUAGUCACAUCGUCAUUACCCAGGCAAGAUAUUUGAGUGGGGCCUUUUUCUGGAAACAGUCCCUAAUCCUAACGGUGGAAAUGUCAGGCACUGUGGUUGGGCAGUAUGAACAUGCCUGCUGAAAUUACGUCAUUUAGGGAUUAGAGUCAUAGUUAAAAUACCAGUUUCUUACUCUCCAGUCUAACUAUCAGACUCUCAAAAAUGAUCUAAGAAAAAGGGUGUGUGUUUG